rnacentral:rRNA from 1 species
CCCUUAGAUGUUCUGGGCCGCACGCGCGCUACACUGAUGCAUUCAACGAGUUUUUCCUGGUCCGAGAGGAAUGGGUAACCUUUUGAAAGUGCAUCGUGCUAGGGAUAGACUAUUGCAAUUAUUGGUCUUCAACGAGGAAUUCCUAGUAAGUGUGAAUCAUCAGUUCGCGCUGAUUACGUCCCUGCCCUUUGUACACACCGCCCGUCGCUGCUACCGAUUGAGUGGUCCGGUGAAUUAUUCGGACCGGUGGACUGUGGGGAAACCCGCGGCCUGCUGGGAAGUCUUGUGAACCUUAUCACUUAGAGGAAGCAGAAGUCGUAACA